GGCCCAUUUAAAAUGUUGCUCAGUGCAGGAUUCAGGGGUGAAGGUGAGGGCACUAAUAAAUAGCUAGACUUUUAUUUUAUUAUGAUUACAGUUCUUGCCAUUUUGCUUGCAGGCCAGAAAAUGGUGUUGUGUGAGAGACUUAAUGACUAAGAACCUUGGCUCUGUGCUUGCUAGGCAUCCACAAAUACCUUGUAUCCUAUACAUUAUAGAGAGGGAGAGAGAGAAAGGGUUUCUUCUCACUCUUGGAAAGUGGCUUUACAAGACCAUUUAUUAGAAAAUGUGAGAAAAUGGAAGGAAAAGAGGGGGAAGGGAAGGGGAUGGUG
rnacentral:misc_RNA from 1 species